GAUGAACGCUGGCGGCGUGCCUAAUACAUGCAAGUCGAGCGAAGCGGGGACGGGUGAGUAACACGUGGAUAACCUCCUAUUAGACUGGGAUAACUUCGGGAAACCGGAGCUAAACCGGAUACUUAUAGUUGAAUCCGCGUGGCAUUAGCUAGUUGGGAAGUUAACGGCUUACCAAGCCAACGAUACAUAGCCGACCUGAGAGGGUGAUCGGCCAAAUUGGAACUGGGACACGGUCCAGACUCCUACGGGAGGCAGCAGUAGGGAAUCUUCCGCAAUGGGCGAAAGCCUGACGGAGCAACGCCGCGUGAGUGAUGAAGGUCUUCGGAUCGUAAAACUCUGUUAUUAGGGAGGCGGUACCUAAACAGAAAGCCACGGCUAACUACGUGCCAGCAGCCGCGGUAAUAC
rnacentral:rRNA from 1 species